CUUUUCAAGUAUUGUACAGAAAUUACUCAUUGCUCUUCAUUUAUUCAUUUCUGUAAACUUAUUUCGCAAAAUUGAUUGUUGCCUAGUGCCUAAGAUCAAACAAAGAUGGUUGCAGACGACAGAAAGCCAAUGGAUCCGCAUGGACCGGGUCCUAAGCCAGAAUGUUUGUUCCUUCAGCGUCUUCUAGCGUUGGAGCGGGAAAUUGAUAAGCUUGCCGAGUUGGUUAGAGUCUACAAAAAGGAAUUCAAUAAGCUGAAGCCAAGGAUGUACCGUAAAACAAAGUAAAAAUACACAAAUCAACGCGUCAAGAGUUCUAAAUCAACAUGCAUAAAUAAGGAAAAGCUACAGAUAAUCGUACAUAUUGAAGUGGAAAUGGACAAGUACAUACUUAUGAACAUAUGUAUGUAUGUACAUAUAUCCAAUAUGGCAGCUAAUAAACCAAGUUAAAAAUAAAGUAAAAUGUGAAAAUAAACCAAUCUGAUGAAUAUACAAUCUUAAAUAGACAUCUUGAACCUUCCAAUAUUAAAAUUUCUUAUAAAUUUGUUACAGUUUUGUAUCAGCUUAUGAAGCUAACACGACUAUCCAAAAACAAUAUAUAAAAAAGAAAAUGUUUGUCAUAUUAAAAGAAUACAAAAUAAAAAUAGAAAUGCAUACCACAUUGUAUUCCAUGCUUAAAAACUAUAAAACAUUGUACACCAUAGUUAAGAAAUAAGUAAAACACUGUUUUCAAUGCACAAUACUCACAUAAAUAUAGCCACGAUGAUAAAUGUA